ACUGUCACUCCUACGGGGAGGCAGCAUGGGGGGAAUAUUGCACAAUGGGCGCAAGCCUGAUGCAGCCAUGCCGCGUGUGUGAAGAAGGCCUUCGGGUUGUUAAAGCACUUUCAGUCGUGAGGAAGGUAGUGUAGUUAAUAGCUGCAUUAUUUGACGUUAGCGACAGAAGAAAGCACCGGCUAACUCCGUGCCAGCAGCCGCGGUAAUACGGAGGGUGCGAGCGUUAAUCGGAAUUACUGGGCGUAAAGCGCAUGCAGGUGGUUUGUUAAGUCAGAUGUGAAAGCCCGGGGCUCAACCUCGGAAUAGCAUUUGAAACUGGCAGACUAGAGUACUGUAGAGGGGGGGUAGGAAUUUCAGGUGUAGCGGUGAAAAUGCGUAGAGAUCUGAAGGAAUACCGGUGGCGAAGGCGGCCCCCUGGACAGAUACUGACACUCAGAUGCGAAAGCGUGGGGAGCAAACAGGAUUAGAUACCCCUGGUAG
rnacentral:rRNA from 1 species